UUUAAAUAAUUACAAUAAUAACACGCUAAUAUUUUAUUCAACAAAAAUAAUUGUUUUCGAAGAUUCAAACAUGAUUUCUCUAUGAACUUGAAUCAAAUUAAACAACGUAUCAUUUUUAAUUGUUCUGAAUCAUAACAUUUUCUUGUAUUUCUGAAAUUUAUUGCAAAGCUAACCAUAUUUCAAAUGCUAUGGAUUGAUUUCUUGUCAUUUCAGAAUUAUUUAUAUCCUUUGUAGGUUCAACAUGUUGCGAUUUAAAGUCAAUUUUCCGGGUCAGUGAAGAAAACACGUAUGGGUGUGAAUAAAUAACGAACCAAUAAUCGGUAUUUGACGCAGAUGGUUUUUAACUUAUUAUUGUUUAUAGGUACCUGUUAUUUACUAUCUUAAUGUAAAUUAACGUAAUUAUUGAGUAAUAUGAAGUGAACAGAAAAAAAUGAAUAAUUACACCAUUUAUUGUAAACUGAGGAAUUCAAUAAGAUGACAAUAAAAUAUAUUUUUGUUAACAAGCUGAACAAAGUGAUGAUUGUUGGGUCAGAAAAAUUUUUAAUAAAAAAAUAUGAAUAAUAUGACAUAUUUCACUUUUGGUUGUUGCGACAAAGAAGCCGUACGAACUGUUUGUUUUGAUUUAAUUAUUUACAUUUCACUCUAUGGAACAAUGGUUAUUACACUUUAAUUAGACACAUGUUAUAUAAUUCACCUAGUCGGUUCGCUUUCCUACUUUUUGUUUCUAAAUGUUGCAUUCAAUUAUGAAAUACUGUCGGAAUUUGCUUAAAAUUUUUAUUUUUUAAUUUUAAUUUUAAUUCUUCAUGUGUAGUUUCUUCACACAAAUACAUUGGACUGGCCUUUUUGAUGAUAUUGAGUAUCAUUAUUUGCCUUUUUACUUCUGUCAAAGGUAAAAUAUGACUCGUCAAUAAUGAUCUCCAAACAUUUAAUGCGCGAAAACCCGUUGGCAUUAAGACUUAUAAGUUUCGAUUUUUGUUCCAUUUGUUGCUUCUCAAUAUAUUUGGGUGCGAUUUUCUCCAUUAUUAAGUUCCUUUAGAAUGUUGCUUACAGAUUUCUUAGCAAUUUUGAAUUUUCUGCUCAAGUUUCGCAAACUGACUCAGUUUUUCGUGACCGCUUUAACCAAAACUUUUCUUUUCUUUCUAGUAAUUUUUUCGCUUAUGAGCCUGACCCUGACUUUCUUUCAAUUCAAAUACCUAUCUAAACAUGCCAACAGAUAGGUAUCGUGAAUUGUUUCUCUGGCUAUUCCCAUUCUUACAAAGUGAUUCACUAUAAAAUUUUUACUUUUUCACGUCGUUCGUUUUCUAUUAGAUUUCCUAUACUUCAAACUAAACUUUUAACAUUCUAAUAUUUAUAUUUGGGAUAUCUAAAACUGCCAAAUCGCGAAAAUUUUUUUUAAAUCAGAAACUUGGAUUUGUUAUAAAAAAAUUCAUACUCUAUUAUUAAUUUGUUGUAAAGCUGCCGAAAAUAUUUUCUUUGAAUAUUUGAUUACCAGAUAGACCAGAGGCUUUUCAUUAUUUUAUUAUGUAAUACAGCAAUAAAAAACAUGAAGGGAGAUAAAAAAACUAUUUUUCAGUGGCUUUGCUGCACGUGGCGAAGUAAGCUCACGGUCUCCCAUUAAAAGGGUGUUCGAGAGGCAUUUUUAUAUACAAUCUAAAUAGUUGGCAAUAGGAUAAUAUUAGUAUUAGUAUAAUAGUAAAAUAGAGAUAGAAAUACAUUUCUGAACCUAAAAUAGGUAAUACAAAGCAUCACUCCUAAUUUUACGCUCAAGAAAGAAACGAUAGACUUUCACUCAAAGAAACUUUAAACAAUUGACUUAAGAGAGUAAGCCAUUUGCAAGAAAUUUUGUUAUGAAUUUCUUGAGACAAACUAAUAUAGGUUUUUCUGUCGAUGAACUGCUUGAAACCUUCUUCUAUUUCAUCUGUAAACAGUGACGAAUCCUACUGCGAAUAGCUCCAAAGGUACUGAAUACAUCGUUUACGCUACCACAGAGACUGAAAGUAGUUUCCUUUAGUCUUCGAAGAAGAUACUUGGUGAUCAAAACGCGCGUCAGACAAUGUAAUCCUGAAUGUAGUAGUGGUGCACAUUGCAAUAUGAAGAACUUAUUUCAGUAUGUCAUCUACCUAUGUUGCUGUUUGGAACUAUUUGGAGUAGGGUUUCUUUUCACAAUGAAUUAACGCCACUUCGUCAUCAUAUACAGUCGAAAUAAAGGUUUCAAGAAGUUUACCGACAGCAAAUCCUGUUUUAGCUCGUCGUAAACCAAGUGACCCAGUUGUUCAGCAAUCUGUAUUGUUUAACAUAAUUUUUGUCAAUAAUAUUUAUUGACUUCUCUUAAAACAACCCAUAUACCGAAGUUUGCCAUGAGACUGUUUUUAACUUCGCCUAUCUUUGGUCAAUUCUCUCUAUCUUCUUACGUCUAUCAUUAUUUUGUCCUUCCGUAGUAAGUACUAAUCAAACUACAUAUACUACAUAGAAUAAUCCAUAUCUUCAAUUUAAUUCGCUUCUACAACUUAUAUUGAAGUGUUGCUGAAUAUACAAAUAUGCUUUUUACAGUGAUGUUUGAAAUUUCCUCUACUUAUUUAUCCUGGCGGAAGGCAAAUAAUUCCUCCACAUAUUUGCCAAUUAAAAAACUGCUGCACUCUACAAGUCAAAAAGCAAGGAUAGUUAGUUCAAUUGCUUAAAUUAAUUCAGAUGAUAAUGAGAAUUGGAUUAGAAAAGCUCUUGAACAGAAUGGAGUGUCACUUUGAGAUACCUAUAAAACUGAUUGCUCUAGCAACUGCCUUUAAACUAUUAAGAUAUUAUUUAAAAAAAAAACAAUUUUUGUACUAUGAGAAACAGAUAUAGAAUAAUGAGUAUACUAAAUCCCAAAGUUAUGUUAAAAUUAAUGAUGCUCCAAAUUAUCCAGAUGGUGGAUGGUAGAGAUGGAUGGUGAAAAUUGAGUUUGUAUCUCAAUUUUAAAGGUAACUGUUUUUUAUAAUGGACAUUAUUUUCUUUAUGAUAAUAUUUUCAAUGCCUUCUCAGCUAAUUUCUCGAAAUGUUAGUUUCUUGUCGAAGAACAUUGAUGUUAAUAUUAUAUGUAAGUUUAUGGCGGGUAUUUCCUAAAAUAUUUUUUUUUAGUAUAGCAAGCUGAUUGGUUCAAAUCUGACAAUAUAUCCAUCGUCCCCAAGAAUAAAUCAAAUCUUAUUUUUCUAAAUAUAUCUGAAGAAAACUGUGAAAUAUAAUCUUCAAUAUUAUAUUCAAUAUUAUAAUUUGAAAUUAAUUUUUUUUCACAUCACAACUGUGUAUAAAACAUUUUGAACGUUUCAAUUAUGAAAUUUUUAAAUCAAAACAAUUUGCGAUGAUUUAAAUCAAGGACGAUGAAAUUCCAAAAUGCGAUCACACGUAGAUGAAAUAAAAUUAACGAAGUGACGUCAGAGAAAUAAUUAAAUAACAUUAGCAUAAACUAUCUAGUAUGCAAAAGUGUGGAAUAAAAUGGAAUACUUUCAACAUUGUAAUAUAUCAAUUUUAUACUGGAGCUAGGCCAUAAAUAUAUUAUUUAGAGUCUACAUACAAAUCCUCGUUUUCGAAUUAUAAACCUCCAAAGUCAUUUGAUCUUUAUAAAAUUUUCGGCAAGUGUAAAAUGUAUAUUAUGUUUAUAUGGUAUAAUAACCAGAUUUUUAUUAUACUUAUCUCAAAAUACCUUGUUUUCAUCAGUUUUUACAAAGACGUAAAGGUAGCAUUCUCAGAACAACGCACGGAAAAUUUUUCCCGAUCUCCGAUUUUCAAUUUUAACAAAAUUGAGUUAAAUUAAUUAUAAGAAAAACAUAAUUUUUAUUUGUAACACUUUUGUUACUUUUGUAACAUUGUUGUUGUUAGUCCCUUUCAUUCUUUAGAACUAAAGAUGUUGAAGUAGAUGGUUCACAGACGUUUUGAUUUUCCUGAUGGAAUAUCGCAGAGCGUAUUUUGCAAGUGAAAAGCCUUAUCGAUUCUUCUAUGUAUCCAUCUGCUACGCUAAAAGAACGCCACCUUCGUGUCAGCUAUGUCCUUUAUAUUCUUCGGAAUUUUUCAAUUCAAGGUAUUUUGCAACAAGGACAUGCGGGACAGCGCAUCCAACAUGUUAGGCAUAACACCUAACGACAUACAACAAAUAAUCUUCUGGUGAUAAUAUUUUUAGGCCGUAUAUCUGCACUUUUGCCAAUAGACAUUGUGCAUCUGCAACUUCGCAUACAAAUGUAAUCACAUGUUCUGCCGUUAGUAUCUUGGACCUGUUUAUAACCAUAAGCAAUAAUUUUUUUUGGAUAUUUUAUGUUACCAGCAAUUUCUUUUAUAGCUAACCAAAUCAUUAGUAUUGAGGACCGACUGCAUAACGUGGAAAAUUUAGAAAGUUCAUACUCGUGUUCAUACCUCGACCAGGAUUUUGCUGGAAACAAAUCAGAAAAUAAAACAAUAUAAAUCAUGUUUGGUACUAUUACGAUGUAUUAUGAUUACUUUGGAAAUAAAAUCUUUUAAAAUUAAUUCUUCUAACUAAAACCUGAAGUGAAAAAGUUUAUAUCGAGUAACUACUGAUAUCUUUUGGCUUAUAAUAUACGCUCCAGCUAGUUUUGGCACAUUCUGUACAUGCUUCUUCAAUUAAAAUGAAUUUCCAUUCUACAUAUUUCAAAAAA